GACGUAGGGCGCGAGCGUUGUCCGGAUUUAUUGGGCGUAAAGAGCUCGUAGGCGGCUUGUUGCGUCGACUGUGAAAACCCGCGGCUCAACCGCGUGGCUUGCAGUCGAUACGGGCAGGCUCGAGGCCGGUAGGGGGAAGCGGAAUUCCCGGUGUAGUGGUGGAAUGCGUAGAGUAUCGGGAGGAACACCAGUGGCGAAGGCGGCUCCUGGACCGGUUCUGACACUGAGGAGCGAAAGCGGUGGGGAGCGAUCCGG
rnacentral:rRNA from 1 species